AUUGGCUGGUUUCGGCUGGUUCAAUUUUUGUUUGUUGAAGCAGACGAAACUAGCCAAUGAGCAUUGAAACUUUGAAAGUUGGUUCACAGAUUUUACCGUGUCAAACAGCCCUAUAGGAUUAAUUUGUGGAAUAUUUUAGGAGUCGCGUGGAUUGUCUGCUAUGUGCUGCGCUACAAGAGAGCAAACAAGUGUUUAUACUAUUUGGGAAAUGGGAAGGUAAGGUAAAAGUCAAACAGUCCAAUCUCCGUCCAUUCUCAUUGGAAUUUCAUUUUCAAAGAUUGGAUCAGUGGAAAGUGGAUAUUUUUCCAUACUGCAUAGUGGUGCGUUGGACUUUCACAUAUCAGACUCAUGCAUAGCUCGACUUAGCUAAACAAAGAAGCAGGCAAGAAGAAAAAUUUCAAGUAUAGAGAAUGUCACCACCCUCUGCAGCCAGGGGAAAAUCAGUACGUGGUAGCCAGACUGGAAGACCAAGAGGAAGACCACCAAAAGCUUUAGCUGGGCAGAAAACUGUUCCAUCCAACUGUCGAUGAAGAAUUAGGACAUGUACAUGAAGAAAUGU